AAAACAUAGCUUAUUGUUAAUAUGGUAAGUAACGUCUGCCCAAUGUUUAUAUUAAUGGCCGCAGUACUUUGACUGUGCUAAGGUAGCAAAAUAAUUAGGCUCUUAAUUGGGGUCUGGAAUGAAAGGCAUAAUGAUUUUAAGCUGUCUUUAAUAGAUUUUUUUUAAUUUACUUAAAAGGUGAAAAUACCUUUAAGUGAGAAUAUUAGACGAGAAGACCCUUAGAAUUUUUUAAAACAAAAUUUUUGUUGGGGCGACAGGGUAACAUUUAACUUACCUAUAAAGACCCACCUUUAAUAAUCUUGAUCAAAUUACCUAAGGGAUAACAGCAUAAUUUCUUUUUAGCUUGUGACCUCGAUGUUGGACUAGGGACUAUUAUUAUUAACCAUACUAAUAGAAUAUUCUGUUCGAAUAACUUUCACCUACGUGAUCU
rnacentral:rRNA from 1 species